GACGAAGGGGGCAAGCGUUGUUCGGAAUUACUGGGCGUAAAGCGAGUGUAGGUGGUUGUCGUAGUCAGGCGUGAAAGCCUUGAGCUCAACUCAAGAAAUGCGCUUGAUACUGGGCAGCUAGAGGACCGGAGAGGAUAGUGGAAUUCCCAGUGUAGUGGUGAAAUACGUAGAGAUUGGGAAGAACACCAGUGGCGAAGGCGGCUAUCUGGACGGUUUCUGACACUGAGGCGCGACAGCGUGGGGAGCAAACAGG
rnacentral:rRNA from 1 species